rnacentral:rRNA from 1 species
GGUUUGUUAAGUCAGAUGUGAAAGCCCGGGGCUCAACCUCGGAAUUGCAUUUGAAACUGGCAGACUAGAGUACUGUAGAGGGGGGUAGAAUUUCAGGUGUAGCGGUGAAAUGCGUAGAGAUCUGAAGGAAUACCGGUGGCGAAGGCGGCCCCCUGGACAGAUACUGACACUCAGAUGCGAAAGCGUGGGGAGCAAACAGGAUUAGAUACCCUGGUA